GGAGUAAAAGUCGUAACAAGGUUUCCGUAGGUGAACCUGCGGAAGGAUCAUUAUUGAAUGAAACACUUCUGGCUUUAUGCUGUUGUGCUGGCCCUUUGGGCAAUGUGCACACGGCUCUGGUCACUUGUUUCUUCUGUUCCACCUGUGCACUGCCUGUAGACACGCUGUGUCUAUGAUAUUUGUUAACGCACAACAAUGUUAGUUGGCAUGUUAUAUAUAAUAAUAAAAUAUACAACUUUCAACAACGGAUCUCUUGGCUCUC
rnacentral:misc_RNA from 1 species